CAUGGACUGUAGCCUGCCAGGCUCCUCUGUCCAUAGCAUUCUCCAGGCAAGAAUACUGGAGUGGGUUGCCAUUUCCUCCUCCGGGGAUCUGCCCAACCCAGGGACUGAACCCAGGUCUUCUGCAUUGGCAGGCAGAUUCUUUACCACUGAGCCACCUGGGAAGCCCAGCUGUGAUGUCUGGCUCUGUUUUUCACCCUCUCCUCUUGGUUAUGCUGUUUCCCCAGACCCUUUAUAAAGACAGUUACCCCACAGAAGUUGUAUGCGUUAAGCCAGGAAUUCUCAGCCUAUGGUCCUGUUCAUCCUAAUGAAGAUGCAUCGUUGGCACUUGCCUCCCGCAUGGCUGGGAAAGAGCAGUGCAACCAAAAGGCCCCAUCCAGAUGGAGGAGCUCAGUAGAACAUCUGCCUUGCAUGUCUGUCACCUCCCUACCUCCUGCUGCUGUGUUAGCUGCCAGCCAUUAUAGCAGCUCCUGAGUCAAGGGCCCUCCUCUUGUAGUGUUUUCUUGGAGCUUUGACAGAUUAUCUACACUGUCAUUCCCAACAGCAUCGUGCCAUCUUUCUUAAAACUGCAGGAAGAUCCUGAUGGAAAUCUCAGUCCUUUUAAAAAAAAAAAAAAAAACCCUCCAAAA
ensembl:lncRNA